GAUGAAGAACGUAGCGAAAUGCGAUACGUAAUGUGAAUUGCAGAAUUCAGUGAAUCAUCGAGUCUUUGAACGCACAUUGCGCCCCCUGGUAUUCCGGGGGGCAUGCCUGUCCGAGCGUCAUUGCUGCCCUCAAGCACGGCUUGUGUGUUGGGCCUCCGUCCUCCUCCCGGGGGACGGGCCCGAAAGGCAGCGGCGGCACCGCGUCCGGUCCUCGAGCGUAUGGGGCUUCGUCACCCGCUCUUGUAGGCCCGGCCGGCGCUUGCCGACACAUCAAUCUUUUUUCCAGGUUGACCUCGGAUCAGGUAGGGAUACCCGCUGAACUUAAGCAUAUCAAUAAGCGGAGCA
rnacentral:misc_RNA from 1 species